rnacentral:rRNA from 1 species
UGGGCAACCUGCCCUCAGCUCUGGGAUAACUCCGGGAAACCGGGGCUAAUACCGGAUACGACCUUCCCUGGCAUCGGGGUUGGUGGAAAGUUCUUCGGCUGAGGAUGGGCCCGCGGCCUAUCAGCUUGUUGGUGGGGUGACGGCCUACCAAGGCGACGACGGGUAGCUGGUCUGAGAGGGUGACCGGCCACACUGGGACUGAGACACGGCCCAGACUCCUACGGGAGCA